GAUGAACGCUGGCGGCGUGCCUAAUACAUGCAAGUCGAGCGAACGGACGAGAAGCUUGCUUCUCUGAUGUUAGCGGCGGACGGGUGAGUAACACGUGGAUAACCUACCUAUAAGACUGGGAUAACUUCGGGAAACCGGAGCUAAUACCGGAUAAUAUUUUGAACCGCAUGGUUCAAAAGUGAAAGACGGUCUUGCUGUCACUUAUAGAUGGAUCCGCGCUGCAUUAGCUAGUUGGUAAGGUAACGGCUUACCAAGGCAACGAUGCAUAGCCGACCUGAGAGGGUGAUCGGCCACACUGGAAGUGAGACAGGGACCAGACUCCUACGGGAGGCAGCAGUAGGGAAUCUUCCGCAAUGGGCGAAAGCCUGACGGAGUAACGCCGCGUGAGUGAUGAAGGUCUUCGGAUCGUAAAACUCUGUUAUUAGGGAAGAACAUAUGUGUAAGUAACUGUGCACAGCUUGACGGUACCUAAUCAGAAAGCCACGGCUAACUACGUG
rnacentral:rRNA from 1 species